GGCACAGCAGGGUGCGAGGACCAACGGUCAAAAGGAAACAUUGUGCCCAAAAACAGAAAAGGGGAAACGGGCGGGCUGGUUGACCCAGCUGAUGAUUAGAUAUAUCUCUAUAUUUCUAUCCUCCCCCCAUAACUUUGGGAAAUAAAGAGCAACUGUUUCCAAAUUCUCAAAAAAUAUUAUGUGUGAUAGCAUGUAGUAUACUAGAAAUGUCACUUAAGUCAACUUUUGUCAGACUUAAGUGACAAAAGUUGGAAAAAGACCGAUUCUCUUGGCGUUUAAAAUAACAACACAAAACGGCGUAAGAAGACCUCGUUUAUUUAUUUAUUUUACAAUUUUGUUAUUGCUUCUUUUUAAAACAACAGCUGCCGAUUAAACUGAAUGUUACAACCUUGACAUGAUUAUAUGAGUUGUUUUACCGAGAAAUCGAUCAGAAGCGCACUGAAAAUUGCCAUUCGUCCCGCAAAAUACGGAAUCGUCCCUUAUUUGGCUGGUAAAUGUUGCGUCCAGUAUUGAACUGAUAUGGGAUAAGAUUUGUUCCGUAUUUCUACAGAUGUCCGAUAGGAACGCCUAUCAACGCACAUACCAACACCAAGUGUAACAAUAAUGACGAAAAUAAAACGCAGGCAAUAUUAAGGUCAACUAAAUUGUGUGGCGGGA